AGCUGUGGGAACAUUCCUACAAAGCUGAUUCUCUUCGGAUUCUGCUGGAAUCCUGAGUCUCUCUCAAACUGGAAUUAUCUUAACAAUUCUUUUGCUUGAGGUUUCCUGGACGGCAUAUGUGGAUAAUGGAGCAGGUGAUGUUUAGCCUGGAGAACUGAAGGCUCAGGAAGAACGGGGUCUUCAAACACCUGAAGGACUGUCUCAUGAAAAAGAGAUGCACAAGACAGGAGAAUUGAGCAGAGAGAUGUUUAACUCAAAUUGAAGAACAAAGACAGCAUUGAAUCACCACCUAUCAAGGGUCUUACUUGAAUAGACUUUGGUUUGGAUGAGAGGCUAUAUAAGAAAACCUCAAAAAUCUCUUCCAAUUCUAAGGUUUCAUGAUGCCAGGCAUUUGGAGAAUUAGGAAAAAUAAUCACUUAAAAAAAAAUUAUUUAGUGCCAAGCUUCCUAAAACAUCUUUAAAAUGUCCAAUAUCCAUGAAUCAUAGGGUAUUAUCCAUUUUAUUUGAAAACCAUGGAACUCUACUACUGAACUUCAUUCUAGGUUGUUUAAAACAAAGUACAAUGCAAAACUGUCUAUUUUUCUUUCAUAAGAACCAUUUUCUAGAUGGGCAUAGAUUCUUUGGGGGAAUUCUUAUCAUGCAGAUAUUUUACUUCAAAAUCUAAACUUGUACCACUUUACUGGAAUGAAAUAUUAAUGUUAUUAAUUUAAACAUCAUAACAUUUUUUAAAAAUAAGGUGUUAAAAUAAUAUUUAUUCAUCAAUCCUGUACCACUACAAUAUUUUAGAUCAG
rnacentral:antisense_RNA from 1 species